GAUACGGAAAAGGAAGGACGGAAGGAGCUCAUGCACACCACCGCCCCCACUGUACCCCCACUGUCCCCGCACUGAAGUUACCAGAAGCAGUCGGCAAAUUCCGCAGCCUCCAACACGAGUCCCCGCAGACAGCAGAGGUAUACGGCGUGAGUCUCAACCAGUCAGGAGUGUCAGUGUAGUGACGGCGAGUACACAGAGGGGAAAAUAUAGCUUCAGUUACCAGGAGUCUCGUUGACGUUUCUACCGUUUGUGUUUUGAAGAGGAGGGGAUUCCUCUAGCGGGUUGUUUUGUUCACACACUGACCGAGCAGCCGCUAAACAGAAGAGAUGCCUCACAAACAGAAAUCGCAGAAGUCCUGGAUGGAGGUGAAACAUCAAGGAAAUGACUGUUUCAAGAGGGGCCAGUAUGGAGAGGCCAUCAAUUUUUACAGUGAGGCCAUCAAAGAGCUGGAGAAAUCUAGUAAAAAGAAUCCAGAGGAUUUGGCCAUUUUGUACACAAAUCGUGCAGCCAGCAACUUGAAGAGUGGACAUUGUGGGGAGUGUGUGAAAGACUGCAACAUAUCUCUGGAGUUGUAUCCAUUUAAUGUGAAGUCUCUGCUUCGCCGUGCUGCUGCCCAUGAAGCUUUAGAGCGAUACAGACAGGCAUAUGUGGACUACAAGACUGCGCUGCAGAUUGACUGCAACAUAACAGCCGCUCAUGAGGGAACCAACAGAAUGACAAAAGCGCUCACAGAGGCCGACGGCCCCUUGUGGAGAGAAAAGCUUCCUCCCAUCCCCAUGGUUCCUCUGUCUGUUAGAGAGAAACUGACCCAGCAAACUGCAGCCAACACUGUCAAACCAAACCCAGCACCACAGCAGAACAACAUCAGUGAACCCAAACAGAACGCUCCCAGUGGUAAAGACCUAAAGAGAGCGCAGGCCCUGAAAGAGGAAGGCAACGGUCUGGUGAAGAAAGGAGAGCAUAAGAAGGCUAUAGAAAAAUACAGCCAGAGCCUCAAGUACAAUCCCACUGAGGUCACCACCUACACCAACCGGGCACUAUGUUACCUGUCAGUGAAGCAGUACAGAGAUGCAGUCAGAGACUGUGAUGAGGCUCUGAAGAUUGACAGCAGCAACAUCAAGGCUCUCUACAGGAGGGCUCAGGCUCAUAAAGAACUUAAAGACACGAAAGCCUGUGUGGACGACCUGAGUAGUCUGCUCAAAGUGGAACCAAAUAACUCUGCAGCCCUAAAAAUGCUGCAGGAAGUGCAGAGGAAGAAGUGAGGAUGCAUCAGGGAGUCUGGAGACAGCGGUAAGGAUCUGUCACUGCACUGUGAGGAGUGAGGAGGAUGUAUUGGUGGCUUUGUAGUCAGAUGGCGUCAAAGUGUGCAAGCGGUGACACGAUUCAGUCACUUUAAGUCACAUUAAGACACUUCUGGAAAAUGUAGCCCUGGUCGAUGGGUGGAACUAAUGGACGAGUGCCUUGUUCAGCCUUGGGAAUGUUAAAGUUUAAAUGACACACAUCAUAACUGAUAAUAAACCUCAACUAAUAUUGUUUGUGAAGCUUAAAUGCAGUAGAUCAUUGAGCGUCAUGUGAUGCCUCUGCUUGGCGAUACAAUCUUUGUUAUUGACCUUAAGUGGUGCAUAUGACAAAUGAUCUCAACUCACGGAUUGUUUUCUUUUUUUUUGCAAUUGUUUAUCAACAGCAUAACACCGGUUCAUCACAGAAUGUAACAUUAACGUACAAUCGCCUGUGCACAAUCGUAAACAAUUGGGUCACAUGAGCUUCCCUUUGCUGAAGACGACAUCCCAAAUCCAUACCAUACUAUGCUAUUCUUUUUGGCCUAAAUGUAGGGUUGGGUUUCUCUACUAAAUAACUGAAUCAAGUUCAUUCUCAUUUCCAAGGCCCUGAUUUAAUUUGAUAUGGAUUCAUUUAGAAAUAUUUCAGUUUCUAACUAAUUCUGCUUAGUCAUAAAACCUAAGCAUCAGCACUAACACUGGGGUAUAGAAACAACUUCUUCACUCAAAUAACAUUGCAACAAAACAGCUGCCUGUAACAUUAGUGUUAUCUGGGUGGAUCUAAUAUACUUUGAAGGUGUGAAACAUAGUAUGAGGUAAUGUUGGAUUCUCCAUGAAACUACAAAGAGGCCUCGAAAUUCACUUGAAAGCUGAUGAAAAUUGAGUGUAACAAUAAAUAAAAAAGACUUGCCCAAAGUUUGAGACAUUCAGAUGUGACGGAACAAAAGACGACACUGGUUUGAAAAAAAAAAAAAAGGAUGGACAGUAAACAACUCUAAGUCACCAUACUGAUUGAAUUCCAUUAAAUCGUCAUAUUACAUUCAACAGAAUAAAUGUUUUGAGAAUCUGAAAAUUUAAGAAUAACUCCAGUUAUUUACUGAAUAUGAAACUGAUGUUCCAAUCUAGGUGCUUGUUUCUAUGUAAAUAUAACUCAUGGGUUGUAUUUUAACACAGGUGAUCAUUAAGGUUUGGUCUUUGAAUAACAAGUAAACAAGCUUCUUUUUUUUCUCCACGCCACAUGCUGUUCUACACUCAGGUCACUCACUGAUUUAUGCUGCAGUUCCGAGGAUCAAAGUGUCAGUUUGAUUGUCUGACUGAAAGACAAACGUGAACCAAGUGAAACAGUCCUCAGGACGGGUCUUCAUAUCAUGUGUGUCGUGUUUUUCUGUUUCCUGUUAUUUCACUGAUUAUGAAAGUUUGCAUGCUACUCUGGAUUCAGUCUCUACAGUAUAUAAGCGUACGAGCCUAGGAACGUUGUUGAAACUUACCCGUUUAUUCACGCCGCACAGGUGAAUCAAGAAGCCAGACACUCUUCACACCUGAGCAUCUUUAUACUGUCUCACCUUUUCUGUUCCUGUAACUUGUUUGUAUUGGUUGUUCCUCAUUAAACUGAAUCUUAAAAUGC